rnacentral:tRNA from 1 species
GCGGAUGUGAUGGAAUUGGCAGACAUGCAGGAUUUAGGUUCCUGUGCCGAAAGGCGUGUGGGUUCGAGUCCCUUCAUCCGCACCA